UUGAAAAGAGAGUUAAACAGCACGUGAAAUUGUUGAAAGGGAAGCGCUUGCGACCAGACUCGCUUCCGGGGUUCAGCCGGCUUUCGGGCCGGUGUACUUCCCCGGGGGCGGGCCAGCGUCGGUUUGGGCGGCCGGUCAAAGGCCCCUGGAAUGUAACGCCUCUCGGGGCGCCUUAUAGCCAGGGGUGUCAUGCGGCCAGCCUGGACCGAGGAACGCGCUUCGGCACGGACGCUGGCAUAAUGGUCGUAAACGACCCGUCUUGAAACACGGACCAAAGACGCGGGGUCUUUUUACCAUCAUAAUGCCCGC
rnacentral:rRNA from 1 species